rnacentral:rRNA from 1 species
GAUGAACGCUAGCUACAGGCUUAACACAUGCAAGUCGAGGGGUAACGAGAGGAAAGCUUGCUUUCCUUGUCGACGACCGGCGCACGGGUGAGUAACGCGUAUCCAACCUGCCCCCAACUAGGGAAUAACCUUGCGAAAGUAAGACUAAUACCCUAUAAUUUCCUCAGAUGACAUCUGACGAGGAAUAAAGAUUUAUCGGUUGUGGAUGGGGAUGCGUCUGAUUAGCUUGUUGGCGGGGUAACGGCCCACCAAGGCAACGAUCAGUAGGGGUUAUGAGAGGAAGGUCCCCCACAUUGGAACUGAGACACGGUCCAAACUCCUACGGGAGGCAGCAGUGAGGAAUAUUGGUCAAUGGGCGGAAGCCUGAACCAGCCAAGUAGCGUGCAGGAUGACGGCCCUAUGGGUUGUAAACUGCUUUUAUACAGGAAUAAAGUUAGCCACGUGUGGUUAUUUGUAGGUACUGUAUGAAUAAGGACCGGCUAAUUCCGUGCCAGCCGCCGCAGUAACAC